rnacentral:rRNA from 1 species
UACGUAGGGCCCGAGCAUUAUCCGGAAUUAUUGGGCGUAAAGAGCGUGUAGGUGUUUCAUUAAGUCGGUCGUUAAAUCUCACCGCUUAACGGCGAGGCUGCGAGCGAUACUAAUGAAAUUGAGGUUUGCAGGGGCUAGCAGAAUUCUUGGAGUAGGGGUGAAAUCCGUUGAUACCAAGAGGAAUACCAAUGGCGAAGGCAGCUAGGCUAGGCAACACCUGACACUGAGACGCGAAAGCGUGGGGAGCAAACGGG